GGAGGAGGCGGAGAAGAGGCUCCGUGGUGAUUACAUGCCGUCGUAUUUUGUGAAGUUGAGUCCAUUGGAUUUUAAUCCUAACCAAAGCUGGAUGGUUGCACAUGUGAUCGACUUAUCCACAUAUGGAAGCAAUGAAGCAGAAGUUUUUGCACACGAGGAGCAGCGAAUUUGGUUGAAAUAACAUGGACGAGCUCCAUAGACUUGUCUAUUCUCAAGUCUUUCUUAUAAUUCUUUGACUUGUCAGAUUCCAUCUGAAAUAAGUUAUGAUGCUUAGAUCUCUGGAGUGCAUCACUAAAAACUUGUGGAGAAAGGGUCAGGGAUUUUUUGGCUUCAGCAAGUCCGGGCCGAGCACUGUCUCAAAGUGAUGGUUGUCAACAUCUGUUUUAUUAUGUUGGAAAAUCAUUGUCUAAUAAGUAUCAAGGUAUAUAUUCU